AGAGAGAGAGAGAGAGAGAGAGAACGAACUGGUUGAAGCCUCAACGUAGAGCUUCUAUAUUGCCGCCAGGAAACAAAAAUAGCUGCUGUCAGAUCCCCAGAAGGGAGUACAGAAAAGAGGUGUAGGUAAGGCAAAAGAAAGACAAAAUAAGGUACAAGAUGUGACAAGGUAGAAAGAUAAAAUACACAGGUGCAACAAGAAUGAAUAGAGUGAUAUGGAAUAAGGGUAGUAUCUGCUAAGACUUUUGCAAUAAUAUUAUGCCAAUCACCUAUAUAAUACCUAUGUCUUAUGUAAUAUUUAAACAUAAAUUGUAGGACAUAGAUAUUUUUUCAUGAAUUUGUAUUUUACAAAAACAAUGUUCUUCUUUUAGAUUACAAUACAUUAAUUCAUGAUUUAUUAUGAUUUAAUCGAUUUUUGGGCUAAACUAGAUAUAGAUCAUGUUUUCAGGUAUCUGAAAAAGAGACGGAAAGAAAGAAAAAGAAGAGAGAGAGAGAGAGAGAGAGAGAGAGAGAGAGAGAGAGAGAGAGAGAGUUUUACAUCCGCGAUCCUAAACUUCUUUGUAGGAUUUCUAGUCGUGCCAAGUCUGCUUGCCCAGGCAUUCUUUGGCUCGGUUAAGAAUUCCCAUUAUUAUUGCCGGUGUACAGAGAUCUUUGUAAAAAAACAAUUUUCUAUGGAAUUUUCAUGUAAUUAAUAUAUUGAUUAUAACGUAAAAUAAGAUAAGAGUUAAGAGGCGAAGCUUUCGAAAGAUACGAUUAGAGAGAUAAAAUCAAUUAAAUUAUUUUUAAUCUUAUAAGAGAUAGUAACAAUUUUUAAUCGAUUUAAAAUUUUAUAUUAUUAUUAUUAUUUAGUUAUUUUGUUAAUUAUUUGAAGUUAUUAUUAGGUCAUCAUAUUUUUUUAUGUUUAAUAUUUAAAAAAAAUGAUAAUAUUUAUUAUAUGAAAUUAUUAUAGAGAAAUAAUUUAGAUUAUGCCGAUCUAAUUUAUUAUGCAAUUCCCCAUUAUAAAGUCAUAAUUAGAAAAUAGUUUAUAAUCUGUAUUAUUUGUAUUAGGAUCCAUAUAAAGUAUUUAUUAUUAUAAUGUCGCAAUACAAUAAUAGGUCAUAUAAAUACAUUAGCCAUACAAAACAAAAUAACUGGAAAGAGUUCGUCUGUAUGUAACUAAUAAUUGCGUCUCAACAAAUAUCGUUUCUAAUCCGAUACUUGAACAUAUAAAAGAUAAAUUGGAGUAAUAAAUUAUUAUAAAUUAUUUAUAAAUAUUAUAUGAGACAAUAGAGAAAGAAAUAUAGGUAGACAAUAAGGGACGUUUCCAUAUUACGGUAUCUCGUUCGUAAUCGUCGGAGAGCGCCAAAUUCGAAUCGAACGGGGAUGACUCAAGCCUCAAGGCUCUGUUCAGUCCACCUCGUCGGCUUCGUUCGGCCGACGUUGGCCCGGUUUAUCUCCGGCUGAUCCAGAAAUAAUCUUAGAUUCGGUCUCUCCUACUCUUACUCCUGUGAUCUCCAUCGUUCGAAAGCUUCGAAACUCUUUUUCAUUUGCUGUGCUUAGCUUUUCCCUUACCAUCAGCAUCUCUCUUUCUCUCUCUUUCUUUCCACAUUAAGUUCCAUAUGAAUAUCAU